GAUGGAUGGAUGGAUGGAUGGAUGGAUGGAUGGAUGGAUGGAUGUCAUGCAUCGUCUGACCACCAAUGAAUGCAUGACAAUCAAGCAGCUGAUUGGAUGAAUGAAUGAACAAGGGGACGGAUGGACGAACACUCAAACAAGUACAUGGACAGACGGAUAUACAAACAAGCAGGUAGAUGGAUGGAAAAGAUGAAUGAACAAGCUGAUAGAUGAAUGACAUGAUGGAUGGAAAAGCAGAUGGAUGGAGACAACUUUUGGACUAAAGUGUAGAAACUCUGACAGGAAACUGAAUGGUAAUGGACUCUGUUCUGCUCUGCCUCGCUGCCUCGCAACAGAAACAAGCUCCAUUGUUGCUGAAAAAUCUAUUAAAUCUAAUCAGUGAACCACGACGUCCCAAGCUGAGCAACACUCACUCCUCAAGUGAGAUGACCGACCCUCUGACCACCUCGAAGAUUUGGGUGGCCCAGGACAAAAACAGGAGAAGAAAGUGAGAUCCUGUGUAGAUGUCUGUACACGGCCACAGCUGACUGACCUCAGAGGAACGGAGAAGCAACAUCUCCAGUCCAAACAGAGCUAGGUGAAUAAAGGCCACUCAUUGUUGCAUUUACAGCAGUGGUUCGUUCUACCAGAGGAAUUGACCGGAAACGGGUCAUCAGCUGGGAUUCCAGAGACUCAGCAAAACCCCAAUUUUAUUUCUUAAAGCAAAACAGCCAGAGGUUGUCAGAACUGACUGGGUGGAGAAAAGGGGAAUAAGCAAUGCUAAUAAACAAAUCCCUUCACUGGGU